rnacentral:rRNA from 1 species
UACGAAGGGGGCUAGCGUUGCUCGGAAUUACUGGGCGUAAAGGGCUCGUAGGCGGCCAACUAAGUCAGACGUGAAAUCCCUCGGCUUAACCGGGGAACUGCAUCUGAUACUGGAUGGCUUGAGUUCGGGAGAGGGAUGCGGAAUUCCAGGUGUAGCGGUGAAAUGCGUAGAUAUCUGGAGGAACACCGGUGGCGAAGGCGGCAUCCUGGACCGGCACUGACGCUGAGGAGCGAAAGCCAGGGGAGCAAACGGG